GAUGAACGCUGGCGGCGUGCCUAAUACAUGCAAGUCGAGCGAACAGACGAGGAGCUUGCUCCUCUGACGUUAGCGGCGGACGGGUGAGUAACACGUGGAUAACCUACCUAUAAGACUGGGAUAACUUCGGGAAACCGGAGCUAAUACCGGAUAAUAUAUUGAACCGCAUGGUUCAAUAGUGAAAGACGGUUUUGCUGUCACUUAUAGAUGGAUCCGCGCCGCAUUAGCUAGUUGGUAAGGUAACGGCUUACCAAGGCAACGAUGCGUAGCCGACCUGAGAGGGUGAUAGGCCACACUGGAGCGGAGACACGGUCCAGACUCCUACGGGAGGCAGCAGUAGGGAAUCUUCCGCAAUGGGCGAAAGCCUGACGGAGCAACGCCGCGUGAGUGAUGAAGGUCUUCGGAUCGUAAAACUCUGUUAUUAGGGAAGAACAAAUGUGUAAGUAACUAUGCACGUCUUGACGGUACCUAAUCAGAAAGCCACGGCUAACUACGUG
rnacentral:rRNA from 1 species